rnacentral:rRNA from 1 species
GAUUAACGCUGGCGGCGUGCAUAACACAUGCAAGUCGAACGAUGAAACUUAAAUGAUUUCUUCGGAAUGAACUUAAGUGGAUUAGUGGCGGACGGGUGAGUAACGCGUGAGUAACCUGCCUUACACAAGGGGAUAGCCGUUGGAAACGACGAAUAAUACCCUAUGAAACUAUCACUUCGCAUGAAGCGAUAGUCAAAGUGUUAGCGGUGUAAGAUGGACUUGCGUCUGAUUAGCUCGUUGGUGAGAAAAAAGCCCACCAAGGCAACGAUCAGUAGCCGGCUUGAGAGAGUGUACGGCCACAUUGGGACUGAGACACGGCCCAGACUCCUACGGGAGGCAGCAGUGGGGAAUUUUGCACAAUGGGGGAAACCCUGAUGCAGCGACGCCGCGUGAUUUAGAAGGCCUUCGGGUUGUAAAAAUCUUUUGUAUAGGAAGAAAAUGACAGUACUAUACGAAUAAGGGCCGGCUAAUUACGUG